rnacentral:rRNA from 1 species
UACGUAGGGUGCGAGCGUUGUCCGGAAUUACUGGGCGUAAAGAGCUCGUAGGUGGUUUGUCGCGUUGUUCGUGAAAACCGGGGGCUUAACCCUCGGCGUGCGGGCGAUACGGGCAGACUUGAGUACUGCAGGGGAGACUGGAAUUCCCGGUGUAGUGGUGAAAUGCGUAGAUAUCGGGAGGAACACCAGUGGCGAAGGCGACUACCUGGCCUGUUCUUGACGCUGAGGCGCGAAAGCUAGGGGAGCAAACGGG